UAUACCGUAAGGAUACAAGCUCAGUAUUAAAAUACCCGAUUUUCGUCAAAGCAUAAAAAAAUAAUAUUUUCUAAAAAUUAUUUUUGUUUUAAAAUACGGCCUAGUCUCUCCAAUAUAUAUACAUAAAUAUUAUAACAUCAUAUUUUCACACAACAAAGAAAAUUUUCAAAACAAUAUAUGUAUUAACAUGCAUUUUGGCUUUAAUAACCAGUUUAUUCAAGCCA
rnacentral:lncRNA from 1 species